GGAUGUUUUACCGGUGAGGGAAACGACUAAUUAUGCCCCUAUAUUGACUUUCGAGUUUGAUAUAGGUAAAGCAUAUUAAUACGCCCCUUAUGUUAAAAGACCCAUUUUAGUGCUCUUUACCGAGUGCUAUUGUGGGCCGGUACAAUUACUUUGAACAAAUUAGAGUGCUUAAAGCAGGCUAAAUUUAAUGAAAAUUAAAACGCCUGAAUAUAUUUUGCAUGGAAUAAUGGAAUAUGACCUCUGGUCUAUUUGAUUGGUUUUUAGAUGCCAAGAGGUAAUGAUUAAUAGAAGCAGU
rnacentral:rRNA from 1 species